rnacentral:rRNA from 1 species
CCUACGGGGGGCAGCAGUGGGGAAUAUUGCACAAUGGGCGCAAGCCUGAUGCAGCCAUGCCGCGUGUGUGAAGAAGGCCUUCGGGUUGUAAAGCACUUUCAGCGGGGAGGAAGGCGGUGAGGUUAAUAACCUCAUCGAUUGACGUUACCCGCAGAAGAAGCACCGGCUAACUCCGUGCCAGCAGCCGCGGUAAUACGGGGGGUGCAAGCGUUAAUCGGAAUUACUGGGCGUAAAGCGCACGCAGGCGGUCUGUCAAGUCGGAUGUGAAAUCCCCGGGCUCAACCUGGGAACUGCAUUCGAAACUGGCAGGCUAGAGUCUUGUAGAGGGGGGUAGAAUUCCAGGUGUAGCGGUGAAAUGCGUAGAGAUCUGGAGGAAUACCGGUGGCGAAGGCGGCCCCCUGGACAAAGACUGACGCUCAGGUGCGAAAGCGUGGGGAGCAAACAGGAUUAGAUACCCGAGUAGUC